rnacentral:rRNA from 1 species
UACGUAGGGUGCGAGCGUUGUCCGGAAUUAUUGGGCGUAAAGGGCUCGUAGGCGGUUUGUCGCGUCGGGAGUGAAAACCCAGGGCUUAACCCUGGGCUGGCUUUCGAUACGGGCAGACUAGAGGUAUGCAGGGGAGAACGGAAUUCCUGGUGUAGCGGGUGAAAUGCGCAGAUAUCAGGAGGAACACCAAUGGCGAAGGCAGCUCGCUGGGACGGUACUGACGCUGAGACGCGAAAGCGUGGGGAGCAAACAGG